AUGGCCAUAUCAUGUUGAAAGAUUGGUUCUCAUACGAUCACUGAAGUUAAGCAAUGUCAGGUCUGGUUAGUACCUAGAUAGGUAACUGCUUGGGAAUACCAGGUGCUGUGA